AUUGAACGCUGGCGGCAGGCCUAACACAUGCAAGUCGAGCGAGCGGCGGACGGGUGCGUAAUGUCUGGGAAAAUGCCUGUUGGAGGGGGGUAACUACUGGAAACGGUAGCUAAUCAGGCAUACAAUCAGAUGUGCCCAGAGGGGAUUAGCUGGUGGGUGGGGUAAUGGCUCACCUAGGCGACGAUCCCUAGCUGGUCUGAGAGGAUGACCAGCCACACUGGAACGGAGACACGGCCCAGACUCCUACGGGAGGCAGCAGUGGGGAAUAUUGCACAAUGGGCGCAAGCCUGAUACAGCCAUGCCGCGUGUGUGAAGAAGGCCUUCGGGUUGUAAAGCACUUUUAUCAGAGAGGCGUUACCUGCAGAAGAAGCACCGGCUAACUCCGUGCCAGCAGCCGCGGUAAUUC
rnacentral:rRNA from 1 species